rnacentral:rRNA from 1 species
AUUUGAGAGGGGCUGCUCCUAGUACGAGAGGACCGGAGUGGACGAACCUCUGGUGUUCCGGUUGUCACGCCAGUGGCAUUGCCGGGUAGCUAUGUUCGGAAGCGAUAACCGCUGAAAGCAUCUAAGCGGGAAGCGCGCCUCAAGAUGAGAUCUCCCGGGGCACAAGCCCCCUGAAGGAACCAUGUAGACUACGUGGUUGAUAGGUCAGGUGUGUAAGUACAGCAAUGUAUUGAGCUAACUGAUACUAAUGAUCCGUGCGGCUUGACCAU